rnacentral:rRNA from 1 species
CCUACGGAGCGCAGCAGUGGGGAAUAUUGGACAAUGGGCGAAAGCCUGAUCCAGCCAUGCCGCGUGUGUGAAGAAGGCCUUCGGGUUGUAAAGCACUUUCAGUGGGGAAGAAAGCCUUGGGGCUAAUACCCUCGAGGAAGGACAUCACCCACAGAAGAAGCACCGGCUAACUCCGUGCCAGCAGCCGCGGUAAUACGGAGGGUGCGAGCGUUAAUCGGAAUUACUGGGCGUAAAGCGCGCGUAGGCGGUCUGAUAAGCCGGUUGUGAAAGCCCCGGGCUCAACCUGGGAACGGCAUCCGGAACUGUCAGGCUAGAGUGCAGGAGAGGAAGGUAGAAUUCCCGGUGUAGCGGUGAAAUGCGUAGAGAUCGGGAGGAAUACCAGUGGCGAAGGCGGCCUUCUGGACUGACACUGACGCUGAGGUGCGAAAGCGUGGGUAGCAAACAGGAUUAGAUACCCUUGUAGUC